rnacentral:rRNA from 1 species
GACGAACGCUGGCGGCGUGCUUAACACAUGCAAGUCGAACGGAAAGGCCCUGCUUUUGUGGGGUGCUCGAGUGGCGAACGGGUGAGUAACACGUGAGUAACCUGCCCUUGACUUUGGGAUAACUUCAGGAAACUGGGGCUAAUACCGGAUAGGAGCUCCUGCUGCAUGGUGGGGGUUGGAAAGUUUCGGCGGUUGGGGAUGGACUCGCGGCUUAUCAGCUUGUUGGUGGGGUAGUGGCUUACCAAGGCUUUGACGGGUAGCCGGCCUGAGGGGGUGACCGGCCACAUGGGGACGGAGAUACGGCCGAGACUCCUGCGGGGGGGAGCAGGGGGAAAUAUUGCAAAAGGGGCGGAAGCCUGAUGCAGCAACGCCGCGUGGGGGAUGACGGCUUUCGGGUUGAAAACCGCUUUCGCCUGUGACGAAGCGUGAGUGACGGUAAUGGAUAAAGAAGCACCGGCUAACUACG